UACGGAGGGGGCUAGCGUUGUUCGGAAUUACUGGGCGUAAAGCGCACGUAGGCGGAUUUGUAAGUCAGGGGUGAAAUCCCGGGGCUCAACCUCGGAACUGCCUUUGAUACUGCAAGUCUUGGGACCGGAAGAGGUGAGUGGAAUUCCUAGUGUAGAGGUGAAAUUCGUAGAUAUUAGGAAGAACACCAGUGGCGAAGGCGGCUCACUGGUCCGGUUCUGACGCUGAGGUGCGAAAGCGUGGGGAGCAAACAGG
rnacentral:rRNA from 1 species